GGCCAUGUGGUGUAGUGGUAAACACAGGAGCUUUUGAUGCUCUUGCCCCGAGUUCAAUUCUCGGCGUGGCUC